rnacentral:ncRNA from 1 species
UAAAAAGCUAAGAUAAGGAAUAGUAAUAAUAAUAACUUAAACAGAAAGUUGCCGGUUGAUGAGAGGCGCGCUAGGGAUAUUAUGAAUACACCUUUGAGCUUCACUUUUGAAUGCAGUAGGAAGUGACGUGUGCACACGUUAUAGUGCAGAGUUUUUAACUCACUGAGGUAGAUAAUGUGAAUUAUCUAUAAACAAAGGUGGUAACGCGAGAUAUACCCUCGUCCUUUAG